rnacentral:lncRNA from 1 species
GACCAGUGUAAACUUUGAAUAGGAUAGAGAAGAAAGUGUGGUUCACAUUUUCUGGAUCCCAAGGUGACUCUGUCAGCAAGCUUCCUAAGGGCCCCUCGGAGAAUGGGGAGCUCUCCGCCCCCUUGGAGUUGGGUAGUAUGGUGAAUGGGGUUUCAUAAAACCUCCAACCUGCACCCCUCCCUUCUCCAUCUCGCUUGCUGCCCAACACCAUGGCCCUCACAGGCCCAACUGACCUGCGCUGGAGCUGCUCUUAUCUAGGGGGGAGGGGGGUGGCACAGCAGCUUGGGUACCCCCCAACCUCCAGGAGCUAGUGGAGGGGUGUGUAACAGGGUCAUACCCCCUCCCUCUUGUCCACCCUACCCCCAGGGUAAGGGGAGCCUCUCUCCUUCCCCAUCAGACUGGAUGUGCCUUUAUCCUCUAAUGCCCCAAUCUCUCUCUGAACACCCCCAUUCUCCACCUGUUGGUGGGGGGUGCUCCUUGACCCACCCAGAUUUGACCGUUCAGGGGGCCUCCCCUGCUAUCCCUCCUCCCAUCCUGUACCCCCCAUUUCUGGGGCCUCAUCACUGUGGAAGACGGGGAUAGUAAGAGAUAAGUGGGUGGGAGGCACGGGGAAGGUUUUGGAGUAGAACCAGGGGUGUGUAUGAAGGGGGGUGACAAGGUCCCCCGGGGGAGGGGACCAACCUUGUCUGGUGGAUGAGAAGGCGUAUUUAUUUUUCACUGUACAGUAUUUAAAAAGAGAAUAAAAAAAUCCAAAUGGCUG